AGCAACACGCUCGUUCCCUUGUAUCUCUGUUCAAGGCCCUGGAAGCAGUGUUGUCUGUGGGCCGCCCUGAAACAGGCAUGUGGCGUUUUUUGUUUCUCUUUCCAUUGACCAAGGUCUUGCCGAGAGGCAAGCAGUGACUGACAGUCAUGGGUCAUUACUUGUUGCUGUCGAUUAUGCAAGAAAACAGGGAGAAGAGAAGGAAGGCGUCCUCGGGGUGUUCAUUCGCUUGCACACACUCAGCAAUCAGGAACCAACACGUGCUACCUGUCUUUUAGAAGAUA
rnacentral:lncRNA from 1 species